AUUGAACGCUGGCGGCAUGCUUUACACAUGCAAGUCGAACGGUAACAGGCCUUCGGGUGCUGACGAGUGGCGAACGGGUGAGUAAUGCAUCGGAACGUGCCCAGAGGUGGGGGAUAACGCAGCGAAAGCUGUGCUAAUACCGCAUGUGAUCUGAGGAUGAAAGCGGGGGACCAAGCAGCAAUGUUUGGCCUCGCGCCUCUGGAGCGGCCGAUGUCAGAUUAGGUAGUUGGUGGGGUAAAGGCCUACCAAGCCGACGAUCUGUAGCUGGUCUGAGAGGACGACCAGCCACACUGGGACUGAGACACGGCCCAGACUCCUACGGGAGGCAGCAGUAGGGAAUUUUGGACAAUGGGCGCAAGCCUGAUCCAGCAAUGCCGCGUGCGGGAAGAAGGCCUUCGGGUUGUAAACCGCUUUUGUACGGAACGAAAAGGCUCUGGCUAAUACCUGGGGCUGAUGACGGUACCAUAAGAAUAAGCACCGGCUAACUACGUG
rnacentral:rRNA from 1 species